rnacentral:lncRNA from 1 species
AUAUUUUAUCUCAGCUGGUAAUAAUUAUACAUGAUCAAUGAUCAUACAUUUGCUUUCUAUGUUAUGUGAAUGGGCCAAUAUGCCCAUUUAAAAGGGCCCAUAUGCCCAUUUAAAAGGGCACAUAUGCCAUUUGAGUCACUUUUCAGGUAAGAUUUUUUUAGUGUUGUCAGGAAUUAGAGCUUCUAUUUUGAUGUUGGUUGGAGUCAGUUAAGAAAAGGUGGCGCUACCUCACAGGAAAUAGGAAAGUGUCUACCUGGGACCCUGCGAAUACUUAUAAAUAUGUAUUGAUGGCUCUGCUAGAAUCUGGAACUUCAUCUGUGUAAUUACCCAUGCAUCUAUUUGUUUACAAUUCAUUUGUUCAUUUACGAUUCAGCUUUUACAAGGGCAAGAAAAAUUAUGAAUAGAUUAAUUUGUCAAUGAUUAAAAAACAUGCUAGCCUUACAAAGCACACUCUUUCUCUAAUCUAUGCCAUUGCUUUUUGUUCAUUUAAUCCCUUACAAAGCCAUUUCCUACUGCACUUCAAAGCAUAUAUGGUCUCCAUUUAUUUCCAAUGUUUAUUAGUUUUUGCUUCCCCCAACCACAUGCUAACAUUCUUGAAUACAGGAUCUUUGUCCUGUAAUUUUGUGACAAUCCCAUGAUUUAGGGCUGAUAAAUACUUGCUGGUUCAUGAAAUAAGAGAAAGUAACAGGAAUACACAAAUUUCAAAAUGUGGAGAUAGACUUUUAUCAGAGCCCUUAGGAAGAAAAUGCUUUGCACCCAGGAAGAAAUCUCUUAUAGAAGUUGUUAAAUAUCAGAAUAGCAAGAAUGGAGGUGUUUAAAUAGUUCCUUAUGUAUUUUUUACACUGCGGUAUGCAAACUCAGGCCAGUGAAUUUUAGGGCAAAUGCUAUCCAGGUGAAUCUGUUUCUCAUUUUAAAUAAUUCUCAAAAUAUGUGAAAUACUCAAUAAGUGUUCCCUCUUCUCCUAAGGGUCCAGAUGAUGUCCAAACCCUAGAUACACUCUGGUCUAGGAUAUGUGAAAUGUUUUUACUAUUCCUAAGUUUAGGAGUUAUUUUCAAAAUGGGCUUUUAAGUUCAGUUAAUAAACAGAAAACUUUCCCUUUAGGAGGGCUUAAGAGGGACAGUUUUCACCUUAUGACAGUUCCAAAAAUGGACAGUUUGACACUAUGUCGGGAAUGCAAAUCAUACUUCUGUAAGCAAAUAUGACAUCCAGAAGGUUGACCCAGCAUCUACUAUGCCCUCUUAUUGGAUUAGGACAUGAGUGUUAGAACCACUACAAACAUCAACCAACGAAGGUUUCAGAACAGAAUAUGUCAAGCGCAGAUAAACUAGAGAAAAUAAAAGAGAGAGAGAGAGAGAGAGAGGUAGAGAGAUGGCGAGAGAGAAAAUACAACAUUGGAAGAAAAUUGCCAUAAUAUCUCAGGCCACAGAAAUGCUGAGAAAUUUUAUAGAUACAUAAAUUAAAGGCAGCCAGGAUUUUUUUAUUAUGAAUAAUGAAUAAACAGAAUCAUACAGUCAAAUUAGCUCAUUUCCCUCCCCUAUCUAUAAAUAAUUUAUAGAAUAAAUUAAAUUAAAAGAUUUUUAAAUAAAAUCUAAAAAUAUAUAAAUUUAUUUAUCUAUAAAUAAAUAGUAUUUUUUCACAAAUAAAUACUGAAUUUGGAGUUAACAUGGCCAAGUGCAUCCCUGCUUUCUAUUCUUUUCAUUUUCACCAACUUUAGGUGGUUAAAUAGACAUGCAAGACUUUUACUUUAAAAUGCUAUUCCUCUAAUUCCUGCUAAAGCAAUUUGGAAGAGAGUUGUAUUAAAGUAUUUACAAGAAUCCUGAUAGUAAUGUGCUAUUGUACUUGCUGUUGUAGUAAUGAAAGUUAAACUUAAAAAUAUUCACAACUGCACCAACAUUUAAUUAGCAAUACCACAUCACUAUUGGCACCAGAAAGCCCGGAAUAAGCUGCUGUUGUGGGUUGCUGAUAGACAGCUUGUCAGGAAAUGAUCAGUGUUGGCAAUGAUUUGGGGCUAAUUUCAUGGAUGUUUUCCAGUUUCCGUGAUCUUCCUUCCCCCUUUUCCAAACAAAAGUGCUUCUGAAAAUUUCUGUUUAACGUCUUUCACUUUGAAUAAAGAAAACACAAAACAUUCCCCUUUGCAGCUGGUAUUGGUGAAAUUACUUCUCUGGAGGGACCAGCAGACGAGGGGUCUUGUUUGAGAAGCACCAGGCAGAAGGUUGCGUUCUGUAUCAGAGCCCACACU